ACUUACCCCUGAGCUGCUUCUGCCGUUGCAUCUUCGGGACUCCGCCCCGCGCGCGGACCUGCAGCCAUGGCAGUCACCGCCCAGGCAGCCCGCAGGAAGGAGCGCGUCCUCUGCCUGUUUGACGUGGACGGGACCCUCACGCCGGCUCGCCAGUCGUGGAGCAGAGAGGGCUUCUUUUCAAAUUCGUUUAUGAGCUCUACCCACCCGGAUGUGAGAGGCUCCAGGCCUAGCCUGUUUGCUGUGAGGACACUGAGGAAUAGUGAGGAAAAUUGACCCUGAGGUGGCCGCCUUCCUGCAGAAGCUGCGAAGUAGAGUGCAGAUCGGUGUGGUGGGCGGCUCUGACUACUGUAAGAUCGCUGAGCAGCUGGGUGACGGGGAUGAAGUCAUUGAGAAGUUUGAUUAUGUGUUUGCCGAGAACGGGACGGUGCAGUAUAAGCACGGACGACUGCUCUCCAAGCAGACCAUCCAGAACCACCUGGGGGAGGAGCUGCUGCAGGACUUGAUCAACUUCUGCCUCAGCUACAUGGCCCUGCUCAGGCUGCCCAAGAAGCGGUGAGGUCCCACCAGCCUGGUCUCCAGAACCUGGGGCCUGAGGGAGGAGAAGUGUGGGUCCCUCAGAGGGAGCCUGGAGAUACUUGGGCCCCUGAUUUUUUGCGGGGAGUGUGGAUUCUUGUCCCCUUUGAAGUCCUAGGAGGCUGGGGUCCCAGGUGGGGCUAGAUUUGAAUUCAGGGCCGUUCUGGUUCUCUCUGGCUCCCCGCCCUCCCUCACCACCAGUGGAACCUUCAUCGAGUUUCGGAAUGGCAUGCUGAACAUCUCGCCCAUCGGCCGGAGCUGCACCCUGGAGGAGAGGAUCGAGUUCUCCGAACUGGACAAGAAAGAGAAGAUCCGGGAGAAGUUCGUGGAAGCCCUGAAAACAGAGUUUGCUGGCAAAGGGCUGAGGUUCUCUCGAGGAGGCAUGAUCAGCUUUGACGUCUUCCCCGAGGGCUGGGACAAGCGCUACUGCCUGGAUAGCCUGGACCAGGACAGCUUCGACACCAUCCACUUCUUUGGGAACGAGACUAGCCCUGGUGGGAACGACUUUGAGAUCUUUGCCGACCCCCGGACUGUUGGCCACAGCGUGGUGUCUCCUCAGGACACGGUGCAGCGAUGCCGGGAGAUUUUCUUCCCAGAGACAGCUCAUGAGGCGUGACCGGGGCCCACAUCUGUGUGUCGUGACUUCUGAAGAGUUUGGCCUAGGCCUAAAGAGAGGUCCUGGUGUUGGAUAGAUGCCAGGGCCCCUCCUCUGGCCCAGGAUGCCCACCCAGAUGGGGCCAGAGUCCGUGUGGACAACCGUCCCCAGCCAGUCUGCUCCUAGUGGCACUGGCUUCGUCCUCCCAGGGCCCAGAGUGUUUCCCGUGCUCCACCUGGUGGCCCAGGCCACAGCUGCUGCUUGUAUUUCGGUACAGAAGAGGUUUCUUUCUGCACCAGGAGGAGGCGUGCGCAAGUGUCGGUACGAGAUCUAGCCUGCCCUGCCUGCCUGCCCUGGGCGAUGAGGUACGGUGGGGAAGGUGCCUAUUUUAGAGAAC
rnacentral:sRNA from 1 species